rfam:Canis lupus familiaris chromosome 26, whole genome shotgun sequence.
GUGCUUGCUUCGGCAGCACAUAUACUAAAAUUGGAACGAUACAGAGAAGAUUAGCAUGGCCCCUGUGCAAGGAUGACAUGCAAAUUUGUGAAGCGUUCCUUAUUUAU